CAAAGGAAUUGACGGGACCCCGCACAAGCGGUGGAUCAUGUUGUUUAAUUCGAGGAUACGCGAAGAACCUUACCAGGUCUUGACAUACCAUGCAAAGCUAUAGAGAUAUAGUGGAGGUUAACAUGGAUACAGGUGGUGCAUGGUUGUCGUCAGCUCGUGUCGUGAGAUGUUGGGUUAAGUCCCGCAACGAGCGCAACCCUUAUUGCUAGUUGCCAUCAUUAAGUUGGGGACUCUAGCGAGACUGCCAGUGACAAACUGGAGGAAGGUGGGGAUGACGUCAAAUCAUCAUGCC
rnacentral:rRNA from 1 species